rnacentral:rRNA from 1 species
GAUGAACGCUGGCGGCGUGCCUAAUACAUGCAAGUCGAGCGAAUGGAUUAAGAGCUUGCUCUUAUGAAGUUAGCGGCGGACGGGUGAGUAACACGUGGGUAACCUGCCCAUAAGACUGGGAUAACUCCGGGCAACCGGGGCUAAUACCGGAUAACAUUUUGAACCGCAUGGGUCGAAAUUGAAAGGCGGCUUCGGCUGUCACUUAUGGAUGGACCCGCGGCGCAUUAGCUAGUUGGUGAGGGAACGGCGCAACAAGGCAACGAUGCGUAGCCGAACUGAGAGGGUGAUCGGCCACACUGGGACUGAGACACGGCCCAGAUUCCUACGGGAGGCAGCAGUAGGGAAUCUUCCGCAAUGGACGAAAGUCUGACGGAGCAACGCCGCGUGAGUGAUGAAGGCUUUCGGGUCGUAAAACUCUGUUGUUAGGGAAGAACAAGUGCUAGUUGAAUAAGCUGGCACCUUGACGGUACCUAACCAGAAAGCCACGGCUAACUACGUGCCAGCCGCCGCUGUAA